rnacentral:tRNA from 3 species
GCGUUUGUAGCUCAGUUGGUUAGAGCACCACCUUGACAUGGUGGGGGUCGUUGGUUCGAGUCCAAUUGAACGCACCA